rnacentral:rRNA from 1 species
UUCUACAGUGAAAGACGGUCUUGCUGUCACUUAUAGAUGGACCCGCGCCGUAUUAGCUAGUUGGUGGGGUAACGGCCUACCAAGGCGACGAUACGUAGCCGACCUGAGAGGGUGAUCGGCCACACUGGAACUGAGACACGGUCCAGACUCCUACGGGAGGCAGCAGUAGGGAAUCUUCCGCAAUGGGCGAAAGCCUGACGGAGCAACGCCGCGUGAGUGAUGAAGGUCUUCGGAUCGUAAAGCUCUGUUGUUAGGGAAGAACAAAUGUGUAAGUAACUGUGCACAUCUUGACGGUACCUAACCAGAAAGCCACGGCUAACUACGUGCCAGCAGCCGCGGUAAUACGUAGGUGGCAAGCGUUAUCC